GCGCACGGGUGAGUAGCGCGUGGGUAAUCUACCCUGAAGUUGGGAAUAACACCUCGAAAGGGGUGCUAAUACCGAAUGAUAUCCCCGGGAUUCCGGUCUUGGGGAUCAAAGAUGGCUGAGGCUUGCAAGCUAUUGCUUUAGGAUGAGCCCGCGUACCAUUAGCUAGUUGGUGGGGUAACGGCCCACCAAGGCCAUGAUGGUUAGCUGGUCUGAGAGGAUGGCCAGCCACACUGGAACUGAGAUACGGUCCAGACUCCUACGGGAGGCAGCAGUGAGGAAUCUUGCGCAAUGGGGGAAACCCUGACGCAGCAACGCCGCGUGAGUGAUGAAGGCCUUCGGGUCGUAAAGCUCUGUCAGAUGGGAAGAAAGUUUCGGCGGUGAACAAUCGCCGGGAUUGACGGUACCGUCAGAGGAAGCACCGGCUAACUCCGUGCCAGCAGCCGCGGUAAUACGGAGGGUGCAAGCGUUGUUCGGAAUCAUUGGGCGUAAAGAGCGUGUAGGCGGUCGGGUAAGUCAGAUGUGAAAUCCCUUGGCUUAACCAAGGAAGUGCAUUUGAAACUGCCCGGCUUGAGUGCGGAGGGGGGGAGUGGAAUUCCCGGUGUAGAGGUGAAAUUCGUAGAUAUCGGGAGGAACACCGGUGGCGAAGGCGGCUUCCUGGACCGAUACUGACGCUGAGACGCGAAAGCGUGGGGAGCAAACAGGAUUAGAUACCCUGGUAGUCCACGCCGUAAACUUUGGGCACUUGGUGUUGCGGGUAUUGACCCCUGCAGUGCCGAAGCUAACGCAUUAAGUGCCCCGCCUGGGAGUACGGCCGCAAGGCU
rnacentral:rRNA from 1 species